rnacentral:tRNA from 11 species
UCACUGCCGGUGCCGUAUUUAGACUUCAAAUCCGCUUU